AGGCUGGCUUUUGUGAUGUCAUGCCGGAUUGACUGGAAAUGGUUAGUCCGUGCUCAGAUUUGUUUGGAGCAACACAUACAUUUUUUCGAAAUUAAAGCCUAAAUAGUAGAAAAAAAGUCUCUGUCUCUGUUCCUCAAUCCGGAAUAAGAAUCGUCGAAACGCAAUAAUAUAUUUGUGAAUCAUUAAAUAUGCAAAUCGUCAUUCUACAAAGGCACAUUAGCUAUAUAAUAAUAUUGGUAAUGCUCGAAUUAUUAAAGCAAAUACUGUCGAUGAAACGAGAUUUAUCAAACAUUUACGUUCAGAAGCUAGAUGACGCCCGUAAAACUAAAGAAGAACUAGAAGUAGUCAGGAAAUCAUCAUAACCAUACCAGUAUAUAUGUAUGUACAUAUGUACAUAUUUAUGCAUGUAUAUUAUUCAAGUAACAAUCCAGAUACUCACGAUCUAAGAAGGAAAAGGAUAUUUUAGGUAAAAAAAAUGUGUGGCCUUAAUGUGAUACUGCCCGAAGACGUCGCCAAAAUAGCUAAAGGCGCGUAAUUGACUGAUUGACUUCAUUUUAACGAGAUUAAACAGCAAGUUCUCGAAACUGACGUCUAGACCGUGAGGAAAAUCCCUUUGGUUCCCAACCGAGUCAGUGCAACUGGGAAGCUUUUUAAAAGUUGCAGUUCUCCGGAAAUUACGCAUUUUAGAUUUAAAGCAAAUUUAAUUUCAUUUGAACGCGCAAUUAAAUGAAAAGUGGAGGUCAGCGACAGGGGCAACGACAGGCGACGGAGAACCUGAAGUCUAAAACGUUUAAGCUACUUAGAGUCACUUUGCUUUCCAGUGGCAUUAAACACAAAUAAAUAGUUACAAAGUGCAGUCGUGUAGAUGAAGAUGCGGUCACCGUCGAGACACCGUCAGACAUAGCAGACCCAAACUCCUCAGAGUAAAGCCACCGGCAAAGAGACUGGAAAUUGCAGCAGUGUUCACACCUUGCGGCACGUAGUCGCUGCCUUAGCGCCACUUCAUUUGACCUGUCACUUUAAACGCCUUUAAAUAUGCGAUGGAGUAACAGUAAAGUUGACUAGCUUGCACCACUUUAUGGCUCGCUUUCCAUUAUAUGUCGCGGUUGUUAGCAAUGAUGUUUUUCCUUUGCGCCUGCUUAACUUUAAAGAAACCGCCUGAGACACUAUUGUCUAAUUACCCCAGGACCAACACAGCGGCGCAGGCAGGCAACCGGCAACCGUCGUCUAUAAAGAGGUAAAAUACGACAUCAUAGCAGAGGUUGACGUUGCCGUAGCCGUAGCCGAGUUCCGUUCCCUGCCUCUGUCGCUAUGCCGCCGUUAUCGUGGAAGGGCGCAAACUGGUUUAUAAUUAAAGCGUAUUUGAUUUCUUUUACAGUAUUUUUACACAAAACAAAAUAUAAAAAAGAUGCGAAAAAUACAAAAAAAAAAAACAGAAGGCAAUUGUAAAGUUGCAAUCAGGUGUGAUAUAAUUUGGUCGAACAGAACGGAAGACGGUGGAACUUGAAUGGCUCAGGGUCUGGGUCUAUCAAAUGACAUUGAAUGCAGCUAAUGACGUUGAAUAAUUUCAGUUGUUGUAUCGCCGCGACCUGGCAUGAACUCAUAUUCAUAGACCUAUCCUAUUCAUUCUUUGCAGCUGUCUUCCGUCACAAACGGGCUGGAUUCAGGCACGGGCGCGGGCGCUGCCUCGAAAAGCACUCAAAGUUUAUUUAAUUAUCUUUGUCAUUGGCAUUUGCAUUUGCAUUUGGAAAUGGGUGCUGCCAGCUUUAAAAAAUAUUUGCCGAACGCAGGAUACACGGAUACGAAUACGAGUACGAACUUGCAAGUCCAUAAGAUAGGGACAGCGCCAACGCUGAGUGGUGAGAGGGAGACAGUGACAGUGACCCAUGGCAGUAGCAGUAGACGACUGAGUGCCGAUGAAAUUAUGAGUCUGGGGCUCGGAGUGGGGCUGGCGGCCGGAUUUAAUUAAUCAAGAACGAGCACUAAGCAUUUUUCAUCAGCUUUGUAAUUACAA